ACUGAGAUAGCUCAGUCGGUAAGAGCAUGAGACUCUUAAUCUCAGCGUUGUGGGUUCAAGCCCCACAUUGGGUU